GAUGAACGCUGGCGGCGUGCCUAAUACAUGCAAGUCGAGCGAACGGACGAGAAGCUUGCUUCUCUGAUGUUAGCGGCGGACGGGUGAGUAACACGUGGAUAACCUACCUAUAAGACUGGGAUAACUUCGGGAAACCGGAGCUAAUACCGGAUAAUAUUUUGAACCGCAUGGUUCAAAAUUGAAAGACGGUCUUGCUGUCACUUAUAGAUGGAUCCGCGCUGCAUUAGCUAGUUGGUAAGGUAACGGCUUACCAAGGCAACGAUGCAUAGCCGACCUGAGAGGGUGAUCGGCGACACUGGAACUGAGACACGGUCAAGAAUCAUACGGGAGGCAGCAGUAGGGAAUCUUACGCAAUGGGCGAAAGCCUGACGGAGCAACGCCGCGUGAGUGAUGAAGGUCUUCGGAUCGUAAAACUCUGUUAUUAGGGAAGAACAUAUGUGUAAGUAACUGUGCACAUCUUGACGGUACCUAAUCAGAAAGACACGGCUAACUACGUG
rnacentral:rRNA from 1 species